CAAGGGCCUGACACGCUUUGAUAGAGAAAGAUAGUCUUAUUGCGAUUCCUAUAAGAGGAAAGAGAAAAUAGUGCAAUGCUUUGUCUUUAUCACCGACCGGGUUUUUUUUCAUGGUCGGGUUAUGGCAGCUUAGGAAGGAGGGUGAUGGCGAUAUACAGAAAUUUAUAAGAGUGAAAGAGACAAAAUCCCGCAAGAUGCCAUACAUUAAACUGUCAAUCAUAUUGUCAAGAGUGCUAGUAAACAACGUGGUUUUCUUAUUGUAGAAGUUUUAUAAAGUGAAUGAUUGUGUUUAUUAAGUAUUUAAUGGAGGUGUAAGAAGUUUUUACGUACAAUUAACAUGGUGGGGUGUUCAGUGGUUGCCUACAAAAGCAAUAACUUGCGAAAAUAAGCGGGUGUAACAUUUCAUGCCUCUCCGACGGAGGAUGAAAUUGUUAAAGAAUGGAUCGCGGGAACUGGAAAAUCAAAUUGGAUGCCUCACAAAUACUUGCGUAUUUGUUCCAAACAUUUUGAACAACAUUGUGUCCGCAAACUGGGCAAACGAACUUUCAUCGAAAAGUUUUCUUUUCCAACCUUGUUCAUACACGUAAGUUGGCUGUUAUUAAAUAAGUAAUAGUAACUAGUGGGAAUAACCCGUUACACUAUACACUAUUAGAGUUGGUACAUCUUAACAUAGGUCUCACAGUGUUUUGAAGUAUUUAUUUGGGUUCUUUGUACACGGGUCGUCUACGGGUUUUAAUGGUAUUAAACUCUAACUAAUUAUUGGGGGUAAUUUCUGGGAAUUAAAAAUCCUACCUAUUACCAGUGGGAAUUUUAUUUCCCAGUAGUUACCAGUGGUAAAAGGUGGGAAUAAAAUUAGUGUAACUACCUGUGGUAAAAGGUGGACAAAAGUUCCUAGUAGUUACCACUAGUAACAACUUGGUGGUAACUAGCAGGAAUAACCCUAUAUAAGACCACAGACUUAAAUUUUUAAAUUAUUUCUUGGAGGCUUGGUACAUGGGAUUACGGAUUAUAUGAGUAUUAAACUCUAAAAUAAUGUAUUUAUUAAAAUUGAUUAAUACUACCCCGCAGGAGAGGAGAGAAAAAAUUCUUUUCUUCAUCAUGUCAUGGAAAUCGUCCAUUCGUGCACGUCGUCGUCGUGGCAGUCUCAACAGCAUUCUGAAGCUAUUAUUGAACUUCAUAUAAUUGAUCCACAGGUUACAAGUGUAUGUGUAAAUAAAGUUUUCUUGACCCCCACAGUAUGUACAACGCGCAACACGUAAGAUUUUUUAUUUAAACAUAAAUAUUCGGUUUUAAGUAACAGUUUUAAUGUAAAUGACCAUGUUAACUUAAAAUCAUAUACUGCGAAUCAAUAUUAUAGCUAUAAAUGUCAGUGCGCUGUGGUCCUUUUCAAUAUCCGCAUCGUCCUUUAGAUUUUUAGUAAUUAUAUGUCCUAGGUAUUAAAAAAUGAACACUCUGCUCAAGGCAAAACCACCGAGUGUCACCGGUUCAACUAUCGGUAGGAUUACCUGCUCGGAAGAUGAGUAUCUUACGUUUUUAGUAAUAUUGAUGAGCCAAUGAGAAUCUGCAUACGUGUCAUACACCUUUCAAUCAAUCAAUUUUUUCAAAAAUUCAAUUUAUUUGUGUUGUUCUCAAGUAAAAGGUACCGCAUUGUCGCUUAUCAUAAGGACGCUCUUACAAGUUAUUCGUAUAGAGAGCAAGCAAAUUGUAUCCUUAUGGUAAGCGACUAUGUGGUACCUUUUACUUGAGAACGACACAUUUAAUUAUUAUUUCUAGUAAGUACAGUUAUAAUAAUAUAAGUUUUGAAUAAAGAAAUUACCUCUUUUGAUA